AAAUCAUUUUGGGGACAAUUCCUUAGUAAUCCCUUUUAUCACUCCCAUGAUUCGUUGAGUGACUCACCAGGUUGUUGCUUGAAGUUUGCUAUGGCCUUCUUGAGUUU